CUCUUUCUUUUCUCAUUAUUAUAUAAGCCUAGAAUAUGUCAAACACAAGAAGGGGAGGGGAGUAGCCAGUCAGUGACUGGGGGCCACUUAGGAGGGCCCAAGGGAAAGAACGCUCCCAGGAAAGAGGGUGGGGUCCAAAGUCUUAAUACAAGAGAGUAAACAGAAAGCCCUGCCAAGGAAAGCCCAGAUCAUGGGGCCCGACAGCCAGAUCCAAAGAGUUAGACAGGAAGCAGAGAAGAAAUUUGUAGCAGAGGUUCAAAGAUGUAGAGAUUGUCUAGAGUUAUAAAGAAUGUAUUUCUAAGCAGAGGAGUAGGUAUGAGUGAGAUGAUAGUUUGCCAUGCAAUUUUGAUGUGAAGGUCACGUUUUCUACAGUGCAAUGGGGGGGGGGGGGUGUCAUACAACAUCCUCCGUGUUCCCAACUGCAGUAGCACUAGAUGAUCUGGAGCAAAACAAUCUUAUUUGCUCUUUCGUCCGUCCUUCCUUCCUUCCUUCCUUCCUUCCUUCCUUCCUUCCUUCCUUCCUUCCUUCCUCUUCCUUCCUUCCUCUUUCUUUCUUUCUUUCUUUCUUUCUUUCUUUCUUUCUUCCUUCCUUCCUUCCUUCCUUCCUUCCUUCCUUCCUUUCUCUUCCUUCCUUUCUUUCUUUCUCUUCCCUUCCCCUUCCUUCCUUCCUUCCUUCCUUCCUUCCUUCCUUCCUUCCUUCCUUCCUUCCUUCCUUCCUUCCUUCCUUCCUUCCUUCGCAGCUAUGAUACAUCUGAAGCCAGACUUGAGCCCAGGAUGUCUCAUCUCCAGGCCUCGCUCUCUAUCCAUUGAGCCACUUAGGUGCCCCCGAGAGGCUCAGUUUCAAUGAAGAGAAUCAGGGAAGUCAUCAUGGAGGAGGCAAAAACUAUAGUGGAAAAUUCUGCUAUCAGGGCAUCAAUGGAAUAUAGGCUUCUUGAGGGAAUGGACUGAUUUAUUUGUUUCUUUCUUUUGGGGACUGUUCCUUGUUUAAUCUUGUAUCCUUGCCAUCUAGAUAGUACACUGCAUAGAGUAAAUACUUAAAAAAAAUUUUAAUUGGUUAGACUGAUUCAGACUGGCACUGAGGCUUGGAGUAGGUCUUAAAAGAUGGGUAAGAAUGGAUAAAGGAUAGGAUUUGGGGGCAGCUAGGUGGUUCAGUGGACUGAGAGCCAGAGAUGCUUCGAGAUAGGAAGUUCUGGGUUCAAAUCUGACCUCAGACACUUCUCAGCUGUGUGUCCCUGGGAAAGUCACUUCGCCUCCAAUGCCUAGCCUUUACUGCUCUUCUACCUUGGAACCAAUACAAAGUAUUGAUUCUAAAAUGGAAACUAAGGUUUAAAAAAAGAAAAGAAAAAGUAAACGAAAGGCUAGGAUUUACCUAGGUAGAGGUGGGAAGGUCAGAAGGACAAGUCAGGUAGCAGUAACUGAAUGAGCAAAGUAUGGAAGUAACAGCCUGAAGUUUUCAUUUGAGGCACUGCAAAUAGCUGAGGCUGGCCGGAACAGAGGGGAGGUUGGAUUGGUUAAUUUCUUAGGGCUUUUCUAACUCUAAAUCAUGUGACUCUAUAAUCUUAUGUAAAGGACCAGUGAGCAAUAUAGCUGGAAAGAUAGGCUAAGGACAGAACAGAAUGGGCUUUGAAUUCCACACAUUUCACAGGGUGAGUGGCUACGGAUUUCUGAGCAGGAGGUUGAUACAAUCGAAACAGUACUUGGAGGAGAAUUAAUCUGUAAAAAUGAAUCGGAUGAAGAGAAAGUAUGGAGCCAGGAAGAGUUGUUAGAAAGCUAUUGCAAUCUGGCUAGAGAUGAUAAGAGCCUAAAGUACAGCUGGGGGAGUGGCAGUGGAAGGGAGGAGACAGAUGCAAGAAAUAUUGCCAAGGAAGGCAGGAUGUAGAGGUUGCACGUAUGUGUAGAGGGGCUCUCAAGCCAUAGCAGAAGAAAGAGGGAAGUCAGGAGCAGGGGAUGGAAGGUGGGGAAGAAGGCGGGAGUGAUCAGUUUUGUGUUAGACAGGUUGAGUGUGAGAUGCUGAUGGGACUAGAAGAGGUCCAGCCGGGUAGCCAGAAAUGUGGGACUGAAGCUCUCUCCUCAGGGGAAGGGGAGUAAUGGCGGAUCGAAGGACUCUUAGAGCUGGACGGUACUUCUGGGGUGAUUUUACCCAACCUCUGUUUCACGCGUGAGAAAACGAGGUCUGUGCAACAAUCUAAAGUGGCUUGUCCAGUCCAGAAAUCAAUGAAAAAGUUCUGGCUUGAUCCAGGUCUUUAGAAUGCUAAUCCAGCAAGCUUCUGGCAAAACCCCAAAGCCACACAGAGAACAAAUGCAGGUCCUACAUAGUCAUCAUUUAAAAACAAACAAACAAACAAAAAAAGGCUUUCAAAAAGCAAGAUGGAUAAACUUCAUGAAUUUUAAAUAAUGAGACACCAGAAGACAGUCUCAGUGAAUAAACACUUAUUAAGAGCCUACUGUGUGCCA
rnacentral:lncRNA from 1 species